rnacentral:tRNA from 1 species
UAAUAUGAGAAUGUGAACUCUUUAGGUAUUCCAUUCAAUUCUUCCUAAGCUGUAAUGUUUUACAUCACAGGAGAACAGUAAAAAGGUCAAUCUAUUGAUGCAGAAUUCAUUUAUUUAUUACUGCAGUCUUUAAGAUAAUUGUCGUUCAUGCACAUAUAUAAUGAACAAGAAAGAUAAGGAUUACUAUAAUAAACAAGAAUUCAUAAAAUGAAACCACUGAAAUAAGCCAUGCAAUAUCAACACUGUAGACACCACUUGCUAGUACUGUCUACGAAACCAAAUGCAAUUCCUCCACAAUCCACCCCUCCAUGGGGAUCCAAACACAGUGAGGCAAAAGGUGCAAGCAUCACAGAAUGUCUGAGAACCUCUUUCUAAAAUAACCCCUUCACCCUACACCCAUUUUAGGAUUCUAGAACAACAUAAUCAAAUCCAAAGGAACCCCACUGAGCUCAACUGUCUUUCUAAAAUAACCCCUUCAUCCCACACCCGUUUAGGAUUCUAGACAAACAUAAUGAAAUUCAAAGGAUCCCACUGAGCUCAACUAAAGAGCAAAAUGCAAUGCCUUGACAACUGAAAAACCAAUGUGUGAGCAUUAGUGAAUCACACUUGAGACCGAUUUGCUAUUUCCAACAAAUACAUAUCCCGUUAAAUGAGGAAAUGAGCAUUCAUCAGCAAGUUCCUGAAACUGAACAGUGCUGAAAUCAACAAAUUCCAAGCUGAAAAUGUCACUAUUACAUAAAUCCAGAGCUAUGUUCUCUAUGUUCAAAUCAAGGAAAGCCAAUAGAGGGACAAAUGGUAAAAAUAAGAAAAUAAAAUAAAAUAAAUGACAGAAGGGAAGCGAUCGCAGUGGGAUUCGAACCCACGACCUUUAGAUCCGGAGUCUAACGCGAUAUCCACUCCGCUAUGCGAUCGCGUGUGUUCAUAUCAUUUACUCUCUAAAAUUUAACUGGCACUUGAAAAUCACGAAAACCCACAGAAGAAAAACCGCAACAAAUUCUUACUCCAACCACAAAUAACACAGAAAAUAUAAUGCAAUUCAAUUCGAAAGGAGCAGAAAAAAAACUUACAGAAGGAGAUGACAGACAUGAUGAGAAACGUAAUAUGAAGAAGAAUAUAUAUUUAAAAAUUAUUAUUUCUUAACCAACUAUCUAAUAAACCAAUUAUAACUCUAAACAAUACUAAUAGUCUUUCGUGCUCCCUACAAUCACAGAAUUUAUCAUGAGAUUCUAGAUGUUGAUUACAUAAAUCAUUACCAUUUUCUACUAAGGCGGCUCUUAAUAACUUUACUUCUCUUCUAUUAGUUAAAUCAAGACAACGUAAAUAA